GGGUGCGGUAAGAGCGCACCGCGCGGCUGGUAACAGUCCGUGGCACGGUAAACUCCACCCGGAGCAAGGCCAAAUAGGGGUUCACAUGGUACGGCCCGUACUGAACCCGGGUAGGCUGCUUGAGCCAGUGAGCGAUUGCUGGCCUAGAUGAAUGACUGUCCACGACAGAACCCGGCUUAUCGGUCAGCUUCAACU
rnacentral:RNase_P_RNA from 1 species